GUCUACGGCCAUACCACCCUGAACGCGGCCGAUCUCGUCUGAUCUCGGAAGCUAAGCAGCGUCGGGCCUGGUUAGCACUUGGAGGGGAGAAUGGUACAGAGAGUCUUCAGGGGCAAUGUAAGGA
rnacentral:rRNA from 1 species